rnacentral:ribozyme from 1 species
UUUAAAAGUGAUUCUAUUUAUUGCCCCUCUGCAUGGGAUGGCAGAGUGGUAACGUGUGUCACCACAUAUCCAAGCUUGGGUACACAGGCUUGAUCCAACCCCUUGGGCUGAUGAUAUGGCAAACCAGAAGGGG